rnacentral:rRNA from 1 species
GAGAUGUGGGUAGUCCGCACGAGCGCACCUCACUUUUAGUUGCCAUCAUUAAGUUGGGCACUCUGAAAGAACUGCCAGUGAUAAGCUGGAGGAAGGUGGGGAUGACGUCAAGUCCUCAUGGCCCUUACGUGUUGGGCUACACACGUGCUACAAUGGCAUCUACAACAGGAAGCAAAACGGCAACGUUAAGCAAAUCCCGAAAAGAUGCCUCAGUUCGGAUUGCACUCUGCAACUCGAGUGCAUGAAGCUGGAAUUACUAGUAAUCGUGGAUCAGCGUGCCACGGUGAAUGCGUUCCCGGGUCUUGUACACACCGCCCGUCACACCAUGGGAGUUGGUUCUACCUUAAGGCAAGGUUUUAUACCCUUGACCACGGUAUAGUCAGCGACUGGGGUGAAGUCGUAACAAGGUAGCCGUAGGGGAACCUGCGGCUGGAUUACCUCCUUUCU